UACGAAGGAUCCAAGCGUUAUCCGGAUUUAUUGGGUUUAAAGGGUGCGUAGGCGGGCUAUUAAGUCAGUGGUGAAAGCCCCAAGCUUAACUUGGGAAUUGCCAUUGAUACUGAUUGUCUUGAGUACACUUGAAGUGGGCGGAAUGUGUCAUGUAGCGGUGAAAUGCUCAGAUAUGACACAGAACACCGAUUGCGAAGGCAGCUCACAAAAAUGUAACUGACGCUGAGGCACGAAAGUAUGGGGAUCAAACAGG
rnacentral:rRNA from 1 species